rnacentral:misc_RNA from 1 species
GUCCAGAAAUGUGGAGUGGCCCAACAAGGCAACAACCAUGCUCAGUAUUACUACAUAUAAUCAUGCCCUUGUUGAUUGGGGAAGAGUUCUUUUCAGAGAGCAUUAUGAAUUUGGUCCAGUUUCAUUGCUUGGUGGUUCUGCAACAUCUGAAGCCAUUGUCUUGUAUUCUUUAUAGCUGAAUGCGCCCGUCUUUGUAUCUGAACUUUCUGCAUUUGGCUUUUGAGCCUUUU